rnacentral:lncRNA from 1 species
CCACGUCCGGUCAGAAUAUGGACGUUGAAUUCGAUACGUCAUGUAGAAAGAACGUCAUGCUUCCUGCAAGUUAAGAGCACUUACAACAACUCUUGAUUGCGUACGUCUGUUGAAAAGCCAAAUUUCUGUCCCUAACAAAUAUAUCUGCAUUUUCCAUUGAAAUUUCUAAUACUCCGCCCAUCAUCAUGGUCCACCUUCUAGUGCAAGACCUACUCUAAUUUAGUUCUUGUCCUACAUAUGCAUGAAAUAUUUGCCACUGGAUGUAAAGAAGACAACAACAAUCAAUCAAGCAAUCAAUCAGAAUCGAAUUAUGUUGAGUGUGUUACCUGGCUUUAGUAUUCCUCCUACAUAACUCAGUAAACAAUCAGAUGUAUUCUUUAUAAUUCGCCGUUUCAGAAUCUAAUGCAUCCUGGGUAAUAUUUUCAAAAGUG